GGAGAGUUACAAGAAGACUGCAUGGAGUUUGCUAGACCUCUCUACCCAUCUACAUGUGUCCAAGUGCAAAAUCCAAAAUAGACAAAAAAAAAACAACAACAAAAGUUCUUUCCUGUUCAAUUGCCACAUCCCAUGCAGAAUAAGAAAUAUCACUAGUUUACACAUGGGUUUAUCUUCUACAUCCUCUGGCUAGAAGUCUAUCUCUAGGAUGUGCUGUGAAUAAUGCCUUGGGGACUACCUGACUUUAAGCAGCUGCAUCUGAGUAAAUGGAUGGUUCAGACUUCCUUCAUCCUCUUUCUCCUUGGGAACACUUUGUCACUAUUUUUCUCAUCUCUGGUGAAACCUGGCCCUUUGUGAGAUGAGGUCAUACCUCCUCAAACUUCUGUUAUUGAGGUGUAUUACAAGUAUUCCACUUCAAAAGGGAAUGGGAAAAAAGGGGAAAACCAGGGCCAGUGAUGGAUGCUUCAGCUGCAAGUGAUGGAUGUUAUAAAUAGUGUUGUACACUCCAUAUGAAAAAAGUAUGGUGGUUUAAAGAGAAGGGGAGUUGCCUGCAAUGUUCUUAUCGUAACCUUGAGACUUAGGGCUGCGUGGCAACUUCUAGAGGAUGGGGAGAUCAGUUGACCCCAGAGAGCAGUUGGCUACAUUUAGUCUGCAGGUCUUCACAGAGGACCUUCUGUAUGGAGCAUGCAGCUUGCUUCUUCAUGUUUCAAAGCUACUGGAUAAGAGGAUACUUUUUGACAGCAUCCAGGGAUGUUACCCGAUAAACAGAAAUAUAAUCUACAAACUUCCUGAUUUUUGCAUUGAAGUUAUAUAUUUUAAUUUCAACCUUUUUGAAUAG
rnacentral:lncRNA from 1 species